rnacentral:tRNA from 1 species
AUUUACUUAGUAUAAUUAGUAUAAUUAGCUUCCAACUAAAAGGUUUAAAAUAUAAAGUAAAUA